rnacentral:rRNA from 1 species
AGUGAACGCUGGCGGUAGGCCUAACACAUGCAAGUCGAACGGCAGCACAGUAAUAGCUUGCUCUUACGGGUUGCGAGUGGCGGACGGGUGAGGAAUACAUCGGAAUCUACUUUUUCGUGGGGGAUAACGAAGGGAAACUUACGCUAAUACCGCAUACGACCUACGGGUGAAAGCAGGGGAUCUUCGGACCUUGCGCGAUUGAAUGAGCCGAUGUUGGAUUAGCUAGUUGGCGGGUUAAAGGCCCACCAAGUGGACGAUCCGUAGCUGGUCUGAGAGGCGGAUCAGCCACACUGGAGCUGAGACAGGCACCAGGGUACUACGGGAGGGAGCAGUGGGGAAUGUUGGACAAUGGGCGCAAGCCUGAUCCAGCCAUACCGCGUGGGAGAAGGAGGCCUUCGGGUUGUAAAGACCUUUUGUUGGGAAAGAAAAGCAGCAGCUUAAUACCCCGCUGUUCUGACGGUACCCAAAGAAUAAGCACCGGCUAACUUCGUG